rnacentral:snRNA from 1 species
UUUCUAAAAUCUCUAUUAGA